AUGUUCAGACUCCUUCUUCUUCAACGAAUCGCGCCGCUCUCCCGCUUCAGCCAUUGUGACCUCCGCCUCUCACACCGUUAUGAUUCGGUUUCUCCGUUCAUCUUCUAUCAGAACGAUCUCCCUCACGACGCUCCUCUCUGUCGCGACUCCCUUCGUUUCAACCUUACUCCGAUUCGACUUCAUUUCGUCUUUGCCAUUCAAUCGCUCGUCCUCAAUUAA